GGCAGUUUAGUUUAAUGGUAAAACACUUGAUGUGUAAUCACAGAGAUGUGAGUUCGAGUCUCAUGGCUGGCCA
rnacentral:tRNA from 1 species